rnacentral:rRNA from 1 species
ACGCUAGCUACAGGCUUAACACAUGCAAGUCGAGGGGAAACGGCAUUAAGUGCUUGCACUUUUUGGACGUCGACCGGCGCACGGGUGAGUAACGCGUAUCCAACCUUCCCAUGACUAGGGGAUAACCUGCCGAAAGGCAGACUAAUACCUUAUGGUCUUCACUGACGGCAUCAGAUGUGAAGUAAAGAUUUAUCGGUUAUGGAUGGGGAUGCGUCUGAUUAGCUUGUUGGCGGGGUAACGGCCCACCAAGGCAACGAUCAGUAGGGGUUCUGAGAGGAAGGUUCCCCACAUUGGAACUGAGACACGGUCCAAACUCCUACGGGAGGCAGCAGUGAGGAAUAUUGGUCAAUGGGCGAGAGCCUGAACCAGCCAAGUAGCGUGCAGGAUGACGGCCCUAUGGGUUGUAAACUGCUUUUGUAUGGGGAUGAAGUCAGUCACGUGUGAUUGUUUGCAGGUACCAUACGAAUAAGGACCGGCUAAUUCCGUGCCAGCAGCCGCGGUAAUACGGAAGGUCCGGGCGUUAUCCGGAUUUAUUGGGUUUAAAGGGAGCGUAGGCUGGAGAUUAAGUGUGUUGUGAAAUGUAGACGCUCAACGUCUGACUUGCAGCGCAUACUGGUUUCCUUGAGUACGCACAACGUUGGCGGAAUUCGUCGUGUAGCGGUGAAAUGCUUAGAUAUGACGAAGAACUCCGAUUGCGAAGGCAGCUGACGGGAGCGCAACUGACGCUGAAGCUCGAAGGUGCGGGUAUCGAACAGGAUUAGAUACCCUGGUAGUCCGCACAGUAAACGAUGGAUGCCCGCUGUUGGUACCUGGUAUCAGCGGCUAAGCGAAAGCAUUAAGCAUCCCACCUGGGGAGUACGCCGGCAACGGUGAAACUCAAAGGAAUUGACGGGGGCCCGCACAAGCGGAGGAACAUGUGGUUUAA